rnacentral:lncRNA from 1 species
UUAAAGGGGGGGUUGAUUGCAUCAUGUGUCAUCUUCAGUUUCCCUCUGAGUGGUCCUGCUUCACACCAUCAGUUCAGCGUUGAGGAGAAUGAGACUUCGUAUUCUGGCAAGAUCCACCACCACCACCGCCGCCACACACACAGCCAGGACACGCUUUGCCACACACACACCAAGAACAAACGUCGAGCUCCUCCCUGCCCGGCAGAUGAGUUGGACAUUUCUCAGUGUCUGCUCAAAGCUCUGGAGUCAGACAGCGAUUCUCCUCCUUGGCCCUCGCUGCAUGUCAACAUGGACAACAAGGGAGAGGAGAAGCAACUGUCUGAAAAGUCUCUGCACCCUCCUGCCUCUCCAGCAAUGCUCCCUGACCACCUCAAGUGUAACAUCCUCAAGGCCCAGAUGGAGGCAGCGUUCAGGAAGGAAGCUCCACCAACGCCUCGAGGGAAGAGCUCGAGUGAGACCCUCACUGAAAGGUAUCAGAGCUCGUCCCAAGACUCUGCUGCAUCCAGCCUGACUGCAGACAAAACUCCCCAUUGGCAAGACCGCAACCCCACGCCAGAGAGGCUGCAGCCCAAGGCCAACACAAGCAGCAACCGCAGAAAACGACUGGUCAGACAGUUCAGCUUUAACCAUGAGGAUGAGGACAAUCUCCCAGAAGCUCUUGCAGCCAUCUCCUCCCAGAGUAUGGCAAAGUCUGGCUCCAGCAGCUCAUUGGACAAACAGAUACAGCCGUCUAUAUACCCACAGGUAAUACACGCUCUGACACGUGCACACGCCUUAACAAAAAAAAUGAAGAAUGGGUGUUUGUUUAGUGCACUGCACUCCAGUUAUGGGGGAUUACUUCAACCUUUGAGCCUGAUCUGGGAGUAAACAGAGGGGUGUAUGUGUGUGUGUGUGUGUUUGUUUGUUUGUUUGUUUGUGUGUGUGUGUGUGUGUGUGUAUGCGUCGGUGUGUAUUGCAGGUGGAUAAUAUGCCAGCACUGGAGCUGGGUAGCCCCUGCUGUCCCUCUCCUUCGCCUUCCCCUCACCUCUCCCCUUCUUACUACUGUAGCUCUGUCCCUCACGUGGUCCCUUACCUUACCGCCCAUAUUGACAGGUAACACACCUUUGCUCUGCUCUGUGACUCACGUUUAGACAAUAGUGGGAAGUAACUGAGGACAUUGUACUAUUAAUAGGUGCUUUGUACUUUUAACUCUCUACAUUACACAUUUAUGUGACACUGUUGUUAUUUUUAGAUGGAUGGGUGCAGAGAAAAUAAUGUAGUAGUUUAUAAAAUCUAAUGCAUCAUUACUGAUAAACACACAGGGGACUUUUCAUUUAAAUAAAUGUUUUAAAAGUCUAAAGAAGUAGUUGUUUUACAAAUAGGUACAAUAGUAGCACACCUUUACUUGAUUUAUACUGACUGAUUCUGACUUUGUGAAACCUGUUUUAUUAUAUAAAUAUGUAGAAAUGUGUACUCAAACUCAAACCCUUCUUCCUCAACUUCACAUCUAUUGUUGUCUCACCACCAAUUUUUAAUAUGAAUUUUAUAUGUGUUUGCAGUGGAGAGGAAAUGAGGGUGGACAGAGAGAAGAUACUAAGAGCCCUCCUGAUGACAGAGCUCUGAGACCUUGACCUUUGACGCCUGUGACAUCGCCGCCAGACAAAACAAAACCGGUGUAAACUGGAAGCAUGAAAUCAAGUUUUAAUGUCACUGGCUGCAGUCAAAAUGUGUACAUUUGCAUAAUACAUUCAGCAGUUAUAGAUACACAUUUGCAUAAAGGCAAUUGUUAUAUUUGCUUAAUUGUUAUUUUAGAAGAAUGGUUCUUUAUAUUUAUCAAACUGUAUAAACUUUAAGUGAGAGAGAAUGAAAUGGACUCAUUCACACACAGAACAGACAAGCUACAGUGUGACCGAUGCUGCCUGCAUGAUAAAUAUGUUACAAGAUUAACUGUUUAUCUGAUUUUAUUUGGGGGGUUAUGUUUAGAUUUUAUGUGAUUUCGUCAUCACUGUGUCCAUGUUGAUGCCUAAACUGUGUUUCAGACAGCGACUGUUGAAGCGUCAUGCUCUUCACAAUAAGCACCACUGAACCAAAAGUCACUUGAACUUCAAAUGAUUUGUUGAAAAUGUAAAAAUACAGUUUUGAGUAAUAUACCGAUACUGUAACAGAACAGGAGUUGUAAACGCUUACUUCUUUAUUGUAUUCAUUCUAAAGUCAGAUAUACGUUUUGACAUGUCAAAACGACAGAGGGUGCAGCAGGUGUAGAGACUGGACUGUGAGUUUGUGCAGCUGCAGGCUCAGUGUGUCCACUAGAAGGAGACAUAUCUGCAUUUACUGCUCAUGUAGCAGCUGAACACACUGAUCCUGUGUUACAAGUUGUCACGAGAAACAGAUCAUGAAUCACUUCUAUUUUUUCUAUUUCAUUACAGGUCAAAUGCAAACCUCAUCUCACAGGUUCUUCUUCUUGGGAAUUAGGCAUCAGUAAGCAUAACCCUGCUGUCCGACAACUCUUUUAAGUCCUUUCCUUUAUUUUUUCCACAACAACAUUUGAGGCAGCAUAUGAUCUGCUGUUCCACUGUAUGUGUUGAGUUGUUCGUGCCCUCAGUUGGAUCUUAAUAAAAGCGACAUCAUCAGUUUGACAACUCUG